UGGGGAAUAUUGGACAAUGGGGGCAACCCUGAUCCAGCCAUGCCGCGUGAAUGAUGAAGGCCUUCGGGUUGUAAAGUUCUUUUAGCGGGGAAAAUAAUGAUGGUACCCGCAGAAAAAGCACCGGCUAACUUCGUGCCAGCAGCCGCGGUAAUACGAAGGGUGCUGGCGUUGCUCGGAAUUACUGGGCGUAAAGGGUUUGUAGGCGGUCUAUUAAGCUAGUGGUGAAAGCCCAGGGCUCAACCCUGGAAUUGCCAUUAGAACUGGUAGGCUAGAGAGUGUUAGAGGUAAGUGGAAUUCCUAGUGUAGGAGUGAAAUCCGUAGAGAUUAGGAGGAAUAUCGAUGGCGAAGGCAGCUUACUGGGACAUUUCUGACGCUGAAAAACGAAAGCGUGGGUAGCAAACAGG
rnacentral:rRNA from 1 species